rnacentral:rRNA from 1 species
GCCCAAACCAAUAAAGUUUUCUUUAUUGGGGUUGCGGACAUAUCAUAACGAAGAGGUAUCGUAAUUGAAGAGGUUUGGAAAGACCCACCACAGAAGGUAAUAGUCCUGUAUGUUAAACGAGAAGACGUUAGAUAUGAUCCAGAGUACCACGGGACACGUGAAACCCAGUGGGAAGCAGGAGGGACCACCCUCCAAGGCUAAAUACUACCUAGUGACCG